UACGUAGGGUCCGAGCGUUGUCCGGAAUUAUUGGGCGUAAAGGGCUCGUAGGCGGUUUGUCGCGUCGGGAGUGAAAACUCAGGGCUCAACCCUGAGCGUGCUUCCGAUACGGGCAGACUAGAGGUAUGCAGGGGAGAACGGAAUUCCUGGUGUAGCGGUGGAAUGCGCAGAUAUCAGGAGGAACACCGGUGGCGAAGGCGGUUCUCUGGGCAUUAACUGACGCUGGAGGAGCGAAAGCAUGGGGAGCGAACAGG
rnacentral:rRNA from 1 species